GGGUGCGUAGCUCAGUUGGCAGAGCAGCUGACUCUUAAUCAGCGGGUCCACAGUUCAAUCCUGUGCGCACCCACCA
rnacentral:tRNA from 1 species